UUGCUUCAGCAACAUUUAUACUAAAAUGGGAAUGAUAUAAAGAAAAUUAGCAUGGCCCCUGUGCAAAGAUGACAUGCAAAUGUGUAAAGCAGUCCAUAUUUUU
ensembl:snRNA U6 U6 spliceosomal RNA